UACGAAGGGGGCUAGCGUUGCUCGGAAUCACUGGGCGUAAAGCGCACGUAGGCGGCUUUUUAGGUCAGGGGUGAAAUCCUGGAGCUCAACUCCAGAACUGCCUUUGAUACUGAGAAGCUUGAGUCCGGGAGAGGUGAGUGGAACUGCGAGUGUAGAGGUGAAAUUCGUAGAUAUUCGCAAGAACACCAGUGGCGAAGGCGGGUCUCUGGACAGUUCCUGACGCUGAGGCACGAAGGUCAGGGGAGCAAACGGGG
rnacentral:rRNA from 1 species